GAUGAACGCUGACAGAAUGCUUAACACAUGCAAGUCCACUUGAACUUCGGUUUGGGUGGCGGACGGGUGAGUCACGCGUAAAGAACUUGCCUCACAGCUAGGGACAACAUUUGGAAACGAAUGCUAAUACCUGAUAUUAUGAUUUUAGGGCAUCCUAGAAUUAUGAAAGCUAUAUGCGCUGUGAGAGAGCUUUGCGUCCCAUUAGCUAGUUGGAGAGGUAACGGCUCACCAAGGCGAUGAUGGGUAGCCGGCCUGAGAGGGUGAACGGCCACAAGGGGACUGAGACACGGCCCUUACUCCUACGGGAGGCAGCAGUGGGGAAUAUUGGACAAUGGACCAAGAGUCUGAUCCAGCAAUUCUGUGUGCACGAUGAAGUUUUUCGGAAUGUAAAGUGCUUUCAGUUGGGAAGAAAAAAAUGACGGUACCAACAGAAGAAGUGACGGCUAAAUACGUG
rnacentral:rRNA from 1 species